rnacentral:rRNA from 1 species
UACGUAGGGCGCAAGCGUUAUCCGGAAUUAUUGGGCGUAAAGAGCUCGUAGGCGGUUUGUCGCGUCUGCCGUGAAAGCCCGGGGCUUAACCCCGGGUCUGCAUUCGAUACGGGCUAGCUAGAGUGUGGUAGGGGAGAUCGGAAUUCCUGGUGUAGCGGUGAAAUGCGCAGAUAUCAGGAGGAACACCGGUGGCGAAGGCGGAUCUCUGGGCCAUUACUGACGCUGAGGAGCGAAAGCGUGGGGAGCGAACAGG